AGUGAACGCUGGCGGUAGGCCUAACACAUGCAAGUCGAACGGCAGCACAGUAAGAGCUUGCUCUUACGGGUGGCGAGUGGCGGACGGGUGAGGAAUACAUCGGUAUCUACUUUUUCGUGGGGGAUAACGUAGGGAAACUUACGCUAAUACAGCAUACGACCUACGGGUGAAAGCAGGGGAUCUUCGGACCUUGCGCGAUUGAAUGAGCCGAUGUCGGAUUAGCUAGUUGGCGGGGUAAAGGCCCACCAAGGCGACGAUCCGUAGCUGGUCUGAGAGGAUGAUCAGCCACACUGGAACGGAGACACGGUCCAGACUCCUACGGGAGGCAGCAGUGGGGAAUAUUGGACAAUGGUCGCAAGCCUGAUCCAGCCAUACCGCGUGUGUGAAGAAGGCCUUCGGGUUGUAAAGCCCUUUUGUUGGGAAAGAAAAGCAGCAGGUUAAUACCCCGCUGUUCUGACGGUACCCAAAGAAUAAGCACCGGCUAACUUCGUG
rnacentral:rRNA from 1 species